rnacentral:rRNA from 1 species
UACAGAGGGGGCGAGCGUUGUUCGGAAUUACUGGGCGUAAAGGGCGCGUAGGCGGCCUUCUAAGUCGAACGUGAAAUCCCCGGGCUCAACCCGGGAACUGCGUCCGAUACUGGGAGGCUUGAAUCCGGGAGAGGGAUGUGGAAUUCCAGGUGUAGCGGUGAAAUGCGCAGAUAUCAGGAGGAACACCGGUGGCGAAGGCGGGUCUCUGGGCCGAUACUGACGCUGAGGAGCGAAAGCGUGGGGAGCGAACAGG